rnacentral:rRNA from 1 species
GGACCUUGGGGCGGGCCUAACAUGCUAGUCGAGCGAUACCGAGAGGCUUGCUUCUCUUGAAAGCGGCGGACGGGUGCGUAACGCCUAGGAACCUACUGGUUCAGGGGGAUAGCCCGAAGAAAUUCAGAUUAACACCGCAUAAAAUCACAGGAUAGCAUUAUCUAAUGAUCAAAUAUUUAUAGGAUUGAGAUGGGCAUGCGUGUCAUUAGUUAGUUGGCGAGGUAACGGCUCACCAAGACCACGAUGACUAGGGGAUCUGAGAGGAUGACCCCCCACACUGGUACUGAGACACGGACCAGACUCCUACGGGAGGCAGCAGUAAGGAAUAUUGGUCAAUGGAGGCAACUCUGAACCAGCCAUGCCGCGUGCAGGAAGACAGCCCUCUGGGUCGUAAACUGCUUUUAUUCGGGAAUAAACCUACUUACGUGUAAGUAGCUGAAUGUACCGAAGGAAUAAGGAUCGGCUAACUCCGUGCCAGCAGCCGCGGUAAUACGGAGGAUCCAAGCGUUAUCCGGAUUUAUUGGGUUUAAAGGGUGCGUAGGCGGCUUAUUAAGUCAGGGGUGAAAGACGGUGGCUCAACCAUCGCAGUGCCCUUGAUACUGAUGAGCUUGAAUACACUAGAGGUAGGCGGAAUGUGACAAGUAGCGGUGAAAUGCAUAGAUAUGUCACAGAACACCGAUUGCGAAGGCAGCUUACUAUGGUGUCAUUGACGCUGAGGCACGAAAGCGUGGGGAUCAAACAGGAUUAGAUACCCUGGUAGUCCACGCCCUAAACGAUGAAUACUCGCUGUUAGCGAUACACAGUUAGCGGCUAAGCGAAAGCGUUAAGUAUUCCACCUGGGGAGUACGGUCGCAAGAUUGAAACUCAAAGGAAUUGACGGGGGCCCGCACAACCGGAGGAGCAUGUGGUUUAAUUCGGUGAUACGCGAGGAACCUUACCCGGGCUUGAAAGUUAGUGAAUCAUUUAGAGUGCCUUGAGUGAGCAAUCACACGAAACUAGGUGCUGCAUGGCUGUCGUCAGCUCGUGCCGUGAGGUGUUGGGUUAAGUCCCGCAACGAGCGCAACCCCUAUGUUUAGUUGCCAGCACGUUCAGUUGAGGACUAUACACAGAGACCAACUGCAGGAAGAGUGGAAGGAGGGGAUGACGUCAAGUCCUCAGGGCCAUCACGUCCGGGGCCACACACAUGGUAGAAUGGGUGGUCCGGAAGGCCGCCAGCUGGCAACAGCCACGCAAUCCCAUAUAAACCCUCAAAAUUUGUAAACAGGUGAUCAACUCGACCUCUUGAAGUUGGCGUUGCUCGUAAUCGAAAUCAGCAAAACGCGGUGAAUACGCUCCCGGCCCUCGCCACACCGCCCGUCAAGCCGGGAAGUCGGGGCAAGCCUAGUCUAACUCCGCGAGGAGCGUCUUUAGCCAUCCCUUGUGGU